CGCUAGGAUCCCUUCGGGGUGACUUUGAUGCUGACGAGCGGCGGACGGGUGAGUAACGCGUAGGAAUCUACCCAGUAGCGGGGGAUAGCCCGGGGAAACUCGGAUUAAUACCGCAUACGCCCUAAGGGGGAAAGGGGGGGAACUCUUCGGAGACCUCUCACUAUUGGAGGAGCCUGCGUUGGAUUAGCUAGUUGGUGAGGUAAAGGCUCACCAAGGCCACGAUCCAUAGCUGGUCUGAGAGGACGAUCAGCCACACUGGAACUGAGACACGGUCCAGACUCCUACGGGAGGCAGCAGUAGGGAAUAUUGUGCAAUGGGCGAAAGCCUGACACAGCCAUGCCGCGUGUGUGAAGAAGGCCUUAGGGUUGUAAAGCACUUUCAGUAAGGAAGAAAAAGCCGAAUUAAUACUUCGGUAAUAUGACAUUACUUACAGAAGAAGCACCGGCUAACUCCGUGCCAGCAGCCGCGGUAAUACGGAGGGUGCAAACGUUAAUCGGAAUUACUGGGCGUAAAGCGCGCGUAGGUGGUUUGUUAAGUGGGAUGUGAAAGCCCUAGGCUCAACCUAGGAAUUGCAUUCCAAACUGACGAACUAGAGUACGAUAGAGGGAGGUAGAAUUCAGAGUGUAGCGGUGAAAUGCGUAGAUAUUCUGAGGAAUACCGGUGGCGAAGGCGGCCUCCUGGAUUGAUACUGACACUGAUGUGCGAAAGCUAGGGGAGCAAACGGGAUUAGAUACCCCGGUAGUCCUAGCCGUAAACGAUGGGCACUAAGUAGAGGGAAUUACCGAUGUUCUCUCUGCCGUAGCUAACGCAUUAAGUGCCCCGCCUGGGGAGUACGGCCGCAAGGCUAAAACUCAAAAGAAUUGACGGGGGCUCGCACAAGCGGUGGAGCAUGUGGCUUAAUUCGAUGCAACGCGAAAAACCUUACCGGGGCUUGACAUGGUAGAAGUAGGAACCUGAAAGGGUAACGAACGGUAUCCAGUCCGUAGCUAUCACAGGUGUUGCAUGGCUGUCGUCAGCUCGUGUCGUGAGACGUUGGGUUAAGUCCCCUAACGAGCGAAACCCUUAUUUUUAGUUACCAGCGGGUUGUGCCGGGUACUCUAGAAAGACUGCCGUCGUCAAGACGGAGGAAGGUGGGGAUGACGUCAAGUCAUCAUGGCCCUUAUGCCCCGGGCUGCACACGUGCUACAAUGGUCGGUACAGACGGAAGCGAAGCCGAGAGGUGAAGCGAAUCCUAAAAAGCCGAUCUCAGUUCGGAUUGGAGGCUGA
rnacentral:rRNA from 1 species